CGAUGUAUCUGGAGGUCGGUGGGGUGGUAGGUGAGGACCAGUGGGGUUCUGUCCUGGUGGUGAUUGAAGGGAUUGGGUUCAAGGGCGAAGGAACGGGAAGUAGAAGAGAUGCGGUGGAGAGCAUCGUCAAUCACGUCUGAGGGGAAAUUGCGGUCUUUGAAGAAAGAGGCCAUCUGGAUUGCUCGGUAUUGGAAUUGGUCCUCCUGGGAGCAGAUGAGAUGCUGCCAGACCCUGCUGAGCUUUUCCAUCAGCAUUUAAAAAUGUGUGCUGGGCCUGGAUAAGCACAUCAGUUGACCUCGGGCCUGGAUGAGCACCUUUACUGUCCCGAGGCAGACGUUAUCUGGACGCACAAACUGAUGUAGAAGCUUGUGUUCCUAUGUGAAGAAGGAAAAAUAAAAGAUCAUUUAUAUAAAUAACAAACAAAAACGGAGGAUGAACCAGAGAAUACACAUGCAUCGAAUUCAGAGAGUGACGGUCACGUGCUCAUCAUAAGCAACCCCAUUCCAGUCACUUUCCAAAGCUGUGUCUUCGGCAAGGCGAGAGCAGGCUUGGACUCACAAGCAUGUACCACAGCAGCAGCAACAGGAAAGUGCGAGCCCUGCAGCGCAGAAGAGAGAGCGAGCUCAGCUAUCCAAGAUGGCAGAACCAGCAUGGUCGGCACUUCUGCUAUA